rnacentral:rRNA from 1 species
UACGUAGGCAGCGAGCGUUGUUCGGAGUUACUGGGCGUAAAGGGUGUGUAGGCGGUGCUCUAAGUUCGGUGUGAAAUCUCCCGGCUCAACCGGGAGGGUGCGCCGAAUACUGGAGCGCUCGAGCGCGGGAGAGGAAAGCGGAAUUCCUGGUGUAGCGGUGAAAUGCGUAGAUAUCAGGAGGAACACCGGUGGUGAAGACGGCUUUCUGGACCGCUGCUGACGCUGAGGCACGAAAGCGUGGGGAGCAAACAGG